rnacentral:rRNA from 1 species
UACGAAGGGGGCUAGCGUUGUUCGGAAUCACUGGGCGUAAAGGGCGCGUAGGCGGCUAGAUAAGUCGGGGGGUGAAAGCCUGUGGCUCAACCACAGAAUUGCCUUCGAUACUGUCUGGCUUGAGACCGGAAGAGGUUAGUGGAACUGCGAGUGUAGAGGUGAAAUUCGUAGAUAUUCGCAAGAACACCAGUGGCGAAGGCGGCUGACUGGUCCGGUUCUGACGCUGAGGCGCGAAAGCGUGGGGAGCAAACAGG